rnacentral:rRNA from 1 species
UACGUAGGUGGCAAGCGUUGUCCGGAAUUAUUGGGCGUAAAGCGCGCGCAGGUGGUUCCUUAAGUCUGAUGUGAAAGCCCACGGCUCAACCGUGGAGGGUCAUUGGAAACUGGGGAACUUGAGUGCAGAAGAGGAAAGUGGAAUUCCAAGUGUAGCGGUGAAAUGCAUAGAGAUUUGGAGGAACACCAGUGGCGAAGGCGACUUUCUGGUCUGCAACUGACACUGAGGCGCGAAAGCGUGGGGAGCAAACAGG